rnacentral:lncRNA from 1 species
CCCAGAUUGUUGUUGUUAGCUUGCAUUUCUUCUUUUGAAAACUGUCCGUUUCUAUCUUAUUGACCCUUUCAAUUAACUGGGAAAUGGCUCUUGUUUCAAUCGGUUCCUUAUGAACUUGGAUAAGAGGUAUUUAUUAGAGGAAACUUGCUAUAGCAGUUAUGCCCAAUGAGCUGUUUUUUUGUUUGUUUCAUUUUAGCUUUAAUUUUAUUUGUACAAAAACUUUAGAUCUUCGUAUAAUACAAAUGUUCUAUUAUCAUCAAUUCUUUCUGUCCUUUGUUUUAUCAAAUUCUUAUCCUUUUGUUCUGAGAGACGAUUUCUUCCGUUGCUCAUCUAAUUUACUUAUAUCACUUUUUAUGUCGAGAAUAUAUCAUUUACAGUUUUAUCCUGGAAUGUUGAGAUGUUGAGUUAAUUUUUGUCAGAAAGCUAGUUUUCCUAAUAGUGACUCUUCUCCAUAGAAAUUGGGGUCUUUGGAUAUAUUAAACAUAAUGCUUUGUUCAUUUGCUUCUAUAUGUGCUAUGUAGCUAAUCAUUUUUUGUGAAUUAAACUAUUGUAUGAAGCAGUAAUCAUCAAAAAUACUUUGGUUAAAAAGGUCAAGAUUUGGCAUUGAGAGGCUCUCUCUCCUUCCCAUUCCUCCCUCUCCAUCUUCAGAUGACCUCAGUUUUUUGAGAUGAAGAUGUCUCUUUCAGAUAAGGUCUAUGAUCCUAUGGUCUCCCCUGAGGCUAUUUCAUUGAUUACAAAGCUCUAAUUUUGGAGAAAUUUUUUUAAAGCCUCAGUUUACCUCUCUGAAACUUCUACCCACUUUUUCUACUUUGGCCCUUUGUGGCCAAGCAGAACCUAACUAGGCUUUCCAGAUGAUUGCCCUUCAGAUACUUGGACAAUUCUCAUCCUUCUUGCUUUCCUUUCCCCAAACCCAAUCUUUUCUCCAGACUCAAUGCCUCACUUUCCUACCACACAACAAGAUUGAGAUAGUUUAACUGGUGAAUCAUAGCUCAGCUCACAUGCUCAAUUGGCAUUCUCACUUUAAGACAGGGGUUAUAUGGAAAACCAUCCUUUUCUCUCCUUAUCCCUGAAAUUGAUGGGAAGACAGUUGAAGAGUCACAGAGUAUGGAUAGAUACGGAUGAAUUGCUGUCUACUUCAUAGGAGGGAAUGCACAUCAGUGAAGUAACGAUACGGAUACAACUUUUAUUGUUAAAUACUUCUAGUAAAGGUUUAGGCCAGGAAUUUUCAGAAAAUACAUUCAAGAUACCACUUUACAUCAGAGGAACACAGAAGGCACUGUUAUAUUGAUUGACUAGAUACAAGUCAUGUAUGACACAUAUAGCAUCUAUGUCUCAAUUUUUAAAUGACAUAAGAUGAAUCACUUCAAACUAUAUACUUCACAUACCACCCCCCUACACAAAUCCAUAGGAUAUGUUUUCUAAGCAAUAAAAUUACCAAAGUGUGAAUUGUGUGGGAAUUCCUUAUUUAAAUAUCAUUUCUUAGCAGAAUCAUAACCUACAUGUGACUGAGGCAAAUUCCUUUGUGGGGUUUUGAUCAUAAUCUGAUCUGUCAUUGUCCCCAUUGAGAGUUUCACAGCUUCUCUACUUUGUCAUGAACCUAACUGCCCCCCCCCCCCCCCUUCCUCCACUUUUUUUUUUUAUCCCAUCCCAGUAUGGGCCCACUCUAGAUCCAGGAUCUUUAUUGCCUCCUUUGAAUAAGAAACAAACACUCAUAGGAUUGUUUCUGGGCUAGAUUAAAAAAAAAAGUUUUCAUGAGUCCCCCCUCUACUUGUUCAUGUGAUAUUAUUGGCAGAAACAUUUUAGACAUUGACAUAUUCCUGAAAAUGACUUGAAAUAUAUUUUCCCCACUGUCCUGAUAUGUGCUUAAUCUUUUCUCCUAAAUGAAUUCCUGGUAUUUUGCCAGGCUCAGAUCCAUGAUUCAAUUUUCUUUUUACUUUUUUAUUAAAGCUUUUUAUUUUCAAAACAUAUAUAAUUUUCAAAGUUUACCCUUUUAAAACCUUGUGUUCCAUUUUCCCCUCUAAUCCCCCACUUCCUCCCCCAGAUGGCAAGUAAACCAAUAUAUGUUAAACAUGUGAAAUACUUCUAUAUAUAUUUUCAUAACUGUCAUGCUGCACAAGAAAAAUCGGAUCAAAGAGGAAAAAGAAUGAGAAAAUAAAAUGUAAGCAAACAGAAACAAAAAGAGUGAAAAUACUAUGUUGUGAUCCACACUCAAUCCCCACAGUUCUUUCUCUGGGUGAAUAUGGCUGUCUUUAUCACAAGACCAUUAGAAGUGGCCUGAAUCACCUUGCUGUUGAAAAGGGUCAAGUCCAUCAGAUUUGAUCAUUGUAUAAUCAUGGGGUUGCCAUGUACUACUCACUUCGCUCAGCAUCAGUUCAUGUGAGUCUCUCCAGGCCUCUCUGAAAUCAUCCUGCUGUUUGUUUCCUAUAGAAUAAAAUUCCAUAACAUUCAUAUGCCAUAACUCAUUCAGGGGACAUGAUUGAAUUUUAGAUUAGAUCUCUCUCUAAACAGGGGCAUCAUCCAAUUCUAGGUUUACCCAAAGAUAAUAUGUAUUUUCCAAUAAGUGUUGGAGAUCAAUAAAAUCUAGUUCAACUCCAGGUGGGGAAAAGCUUUUAAAAAAUUUCUGCUUCAAAAGUCAUGCAACCUACCAGUAUUAUUUAGGAAUUCAGAUUUGUCUUUGAAAUGCCCGAUUAGCUUUCUUUCCACUAGGGGACCUCAGAGUCAUAGCUACUAAAAAAAAUACCAGAUUCAUGUUUCUCUCGUCUCCUUCCUAAACUCUAGAAAAUAUCUAAAGACCUGGAGAAGAUUAGUUUAUUUCUAUUUAAAUUCUCAGAAUAUUUAACAGUUAUGACAUUAGACCCAGGAAGAACUAAAUUUUAAGCAAGUCAAAAAUGAUCAUGAGGCAACCUGCUCUCUGGAUACCAAGAGACUUCAAGGCUCAGCAGCUCAGCUGCCCCUUCCUCAGAAAGAUCUUCCCCGAUUUCCUCACCUGGUGUUCUCUGCACAUCUUUUUAAAAUCUUAAAUUUACAAACCAAUAAACUAUCAAAUAACUUUAUACAAAUUAUGACUUACAAAAAGCUCAAGCUUUGGGGCACAAAAUAUUAACAAAAUACAAAACAUGCUUAUUUAUUAAGCAGAUAGUUUAAAGUAGUCAGUUUCUAAGUUGGCCUUGUCUAAAAUACAUUAAUUUAAAUUCACUAACUUUAACAGAAACAAAAAUGGUCUAUGAAAGUCUGAAUACUGUGUCUUUAGCCCCUAGAACAUUUUAAAAUCAGAGUCUCUGCCCCCAUCCUUGGGGGCCUUGUAUUGUAGUACAUAUCCUUGUACAUUCCCACCCUGGCUAAGUUCAUUAAGCACCUUGAGAUGUGCCUAUUGUCCCCUCCCCUAUCAUUCCCAAUGCCUAGAAUAGCAUUUCACAUAGAAGAGGGAAAGGGAACAAGCAUUCACAUAGUACCUGUUAUGUGUUAGGUCCUAUGCUAAACACUCUACAAAUAUUAUGUCAUUUGAUUCUCACAAUAACCCUGGGACGUUGGUGGUGUUAUUCCAUUUUACAUUUGAGGAAAUCGAAACAAACAUUAAGUGACCUAUAUAACAAAGUAAGUAAAUGAAGCUGAAUUUGAGCUCAGGCCUUGCUGAUUCCAGACCUGGUGUUUUAUCCACUGAGCCAUGCAGCUGCUUAAAUGCAGUAGGGGAUGCUUAAUUAAAAGAAUGCUUGCAUUGAAUCUUGUGGAGUGAAAAUGGCAACUAGCAAUGGAAAAUAAAAAAGAAUAAAAGCUCUAGGAAGUUUCUACAGUAUAUCUGUGCCCUGAUUACUCUAGAAGUCCUUGUAGUGUUCACAUUCCCAAUUCCUAUCCUCUGAAACGCGAAGGGAAUUGUGAAAGUAGUGCUCCAUUAACCUGUGUGGAAAUGUCAUUAUCAUGGAAAUACUGUGUAACCAGUGUGGCCCAGGAGCCUUUACCCAGAAUCCACAAGCAGUGAUGUGGUAGAAAUGGCAACUGCAGGAUUGUUGGAUGGAGAGUUUGACGGGAAAGUGGCAUUCCAGCAGCACCCUCACCUUGGUACCACAUAGGGGGACCCAGAGGUUCUGCCUCCACUUUCAGAGGGAUGAGUUCCUGCUUUGCUGUGCUCAGGGCCAAAGAGGCUAAUGAUUUGUGAGCUACACAAGCCCCUCAAAGGCAGUCUUUGGCAUCUGAUCCAAGUUGGGAAUAGUAUAAAAAAAUCAUUGGGUGAAUCCAAAUGCUGGAAGACUUCGAGAAAAGAUGGCAGUGGUAGUGACUGCCAGGAGCUAGGAUGAAAUUAUCAGACAACAGAGCAAUGGAAGUGAAGAAUUCAGCAGGGACAGCCAUCGUGGGAAGUUCCAGCACCCAAAGCAAGGACUUGGCUAUUGGAGUUGGGGGGGGUGGUGAGCCAGAAGGGAGUCGGUGAGUGAAGGAUAGGAGGGAGCAGGGGAGGUCAGCAGGUCUAUUCUAAGCAGUCCUGUAAUCACAGCCCUCUUCAGCCCAACCUUCAGCCUUAUCUUUCUCUGAGGUGAGCAGCAUCAAGCAAGACAAUGUCUAAAAAUUAGCUGGUCCUCAGCGUUCUCUGCAGCCCCUAAUCAUAUUCUCAAGGGAUUGGAUGGAAAAGUAUUAUACUGAUUUCUUCACUAAAGAAACAGGGCAAUAAGGAAAGUUACAGAAGAUGGCAAAAGAUUUCAUGACCUUGCUUGUUGUGGAUAUUCCCACUACACAUACACAUAAGGAAAAUGCUGUUAAUCUUAAAUCCAUCCAAGUUGCCCUUGAAUAAGGCAUCUGAAGGGGGGAAAGGCAUUGAGGGAAACAGACUAUAGCAACAAAACAGGGCAAAAGAUUAUUAGGUGACUGAUAAAGAAGAAAAAAUAAUCAAUGGAAUUUCUGCCGUUUUCUACAGCUACUGACCAGAAGGUAAAUAAACUUUCUGUUUCUUUGUCUUGCUAACUACUAAUUUAAGAUAUUAAACCCUUAUCUUUUACAUACUUUUGGAUAAAUCUUUAUGUUACUGUCUCUGUGGCCUCUUGCUAGUGGGGGAUUAGGUCUUGAGAGGUACUAGGGAGAUGAAACUUCUGGGUGCAAGCUAUUCAAAGCCAUUAAACUUAUUAUACUGUUUUUGAAAAAUUGUCAAGACUGAAAAGGAUCCAAAGAGCCCAUAAUUUUGAUGAUGGAUCCAGUGUACAUUAAGAUGAGUCACAGAGAAAAGAUUCGAGUCAUCUGCUCCCUCCUUCUCUCCAACUCCAUUCUAGUGCCUUCCUACUGGGGAGAUUGUAGCCAAGAGCAGAGUACUAAAUCUGGGUUGAAUUAUGAAUUUGCUGAAGAUCUAUUCUACUUCUGUCUCCAUUCUCCAAUAAUUCUCUACUCACUAGAAAGUUCGAAUGAAAGGAUAAAUCCAUUUCAGUAUUUCAAAUUAAAUCUCAGAAGUUUCAGUCAUACCCUUCCAUAUAAGUAUUUAUCUUUCUAAUUUUUUUUUGUAAUGAGUCCAUAAACUCUUCCUUUCUCCACUCUGCUCCAUUUCCAACAAUGCUAAAGUUAAAUGAAGAAUUCCAAGCACUUGAUUUCACACUAUUUAACAGAAACGAUUAUUUAAAAAUUCAAUAAAAUUAAAAAAAAAUGAAGAAAAUUGCCUGAAGCUAAAAAAAAAAUGCUAGACAGGCACUUAUUCUAAACCCACUCAAAGAUAAUGAUCAAAGCAAUUCAUUCUCUCAGUUUGGUAAGAUUAUUUUAGAGAGGAAAGAUUUCUCCAUUAAAAAAAAAAACAACUUUAUUAACAGUACAAAUAUUCAAAUGGAGUAAAACAAUUUGGUAACAUUUCCAUUUAUGAUCUCAUCUCCUCAUGGUGUCCAGAAGCUUUCCUAACUUAUCUAGUCUAGAAGUUAACUUUUUAACAACAACAAAAAAAAAUGUCCUGGACUCCCUUGACAGUCUGGGGAAAUCUAUGUGUUUUUUCUUAGAAUUUUGUUUUAAAAGCAUGAAAAAAAAAAAAAAAGAGAAAUGGAGAUUCAUGAUUCAAUUUUCAUUCAAAUUUCUAUUUAAAUUCUCAGAAUAUUUAACAGUUAUGACAUUAGACCCAGGAAGAACUAAAUUUUAAGCAAGUCAAAAAUGAUCAUGAGGCAACCAGCUCUCUGGAUACCAAGAGACUUCAAGGCUCAGCAGCUCAGCUGCCCCUUCCUCAGAAAGAUCUUCCCCGAUUUCCCCACCUGGUGCUGCUCUCUGCAUUUUUUUAAAAUCUUAAAUUUACAAACCAAUAAACUAUCAAAUAACUUUAUACAAAUUAUGACUUACAAAAAGCUCAAGCUUUGGGGCACAAAAUAUUAAUACAAAACAUGUCUAUUUAUUAAGCAGAUAGUUUGAAGUAGUCAGUUUCUAAGUUGGCCUUGUCUAAAAUACACUAAUUUAAAUUCACUAACUUUAACAGAAACAAAAUUAUGUCAGUUAGUCAUCAAAUUAUUUAAAAAACACACACACACACACACACACACACACAUACAAACAAAUUAAGGACCUGAGGUAAAGAGCUCCUGCUUUACAGGAAAUCUAUUCACUAAACAGGGCCUUCCUGUAGUUCUUCACAUUCUUUGGGUAUCAACUCAGCACAAGAAGUGACCAUCAGUUAUCCCUUGGUCUCUUCCUAGUUUUACCAUAGACAAAACAGGCAGAUCCAUCUCAUUUUUCUAUCAUGCAUUUCUUCUGAAACUUUUAACAUGGCUUCUGGGCAAUUGGUUGGCAAUAAGCUGUAGACUAUCCACACCCACUGGAGUAGUUUCUCCAUUGAUCUUUGGAUGACCCACAACAUUGGUCCUUUUGAGAUUGUGACAUUCUGGGAUUAGCUAUCAUAGCAUCACUGAAAUAAAUUUAACAUGUUCAAAAUGGAUUUUGUUUCAGGGAGAAGUUUUUAAAAGCAUCGAACAAUUUAACCAGUGCAACUCUGGCUGUUCAAUCUGUAUCCCAUGAAACAUUUAAGAAAUGUUAUUUAUAGUCCAUCAUCUUAUUCUCCUUAAGCAUGAGGAUUAUUUCUUUGAUUUCUCUCCUCAUAUAGAUGAAAAAAUUGAACUUUGCACAGAUACCCUAGUUUUUUGUUGUUGUUGGUUGUGGUGUUUUUGGUGAUGCCAUAUUUUUGUCCUAUCAGUUCUUCCUUUCUUCUCAUCUCUCCCCUGAUGAAAAACAAAAAGCCAGCCAAGAUGAGUUCUCUUCUGACUUGUUUCCAAGUACCACAUUCCCCCACUCACCCAGGUUCAGACCACUGACGUUCUUUAUCUUCUUCCUCUCACCUCUCCUGCCCAGCAGAUAUACCAUCUGGGGACUAUACAAUUGUCUCCCAUCUGAUCUCCCUGAUUCUAAUUCCCUCUGUCUUGAAUUCAGCCUAGAUAAGUAAGCACAGUAAGUGUCCUGUAACACAAGCCUGAUGAAACAACAGAUUCUAGAGCUGAAUGGCUGAAAUUUCAUUUUUUCAGAAGAGGAGAAAAAAAAGGCCCACAGGGAAUAAGUGACUUUCUUGUAAUGACAAAGGCAAUAAGUGAUAGAGAUAGAAUUUGAGCCCAAGUCUCAAGCUCCCAAAUCUCACGUUAUUUCCACUAUUCUACACAGCUUCUCACAACAGUCUUCUACUCCAAGACAUUAAUCUAGUAGCUCUUGAUUGAUUAUUGAAUAGUAUUUGAACUCUUUAACUUGGUGGUCAAGAACUCCAUAGCUUGGCCCUAGCCCAUUUUUCUCCUACUUCUUCCUCCCCAAACCCAAAGAUCUAGCCAAACUGUUUCUUUUCAUUCUCUGAAUCGACACUCAAAUCAGUUUGCUUCUGUUCCUUUGCUCCUGUAGAUAUCAGCAUGGAACUAAACUACACAUAGAAAGCCCUCAUGAAAUAGCUAUUAAAUAAAUGAAUUAGAUCUUAAUGAUGAAAAUGUAAAAAACAUAAUACUGGAGACAAUGUAAAUCAGCAUAUGUUAUGUUCAUUUUUUUUUCCUUUCUUUUCCCUCUUUCUCAUGGUUGUCCCUUUUGCUUUGAUUUUUUUUUCUAAUGACUCAAAUAAAUGCAUAUAAAAAUGAAUGUACAGGGAAUAACCAGAAAACAAGAAUAAAAAACAUUUAAAAAAGUAAGUCAGAUGCGGAACUAAAAUGAGAAUGAGAGCUUUUAUCCAAUUUUCUCCCUGGAGAUUUGUGUUUAAUAAUAGUUUGCAUCCACAUAGCAGAUCAGUUAUAAGGCCCUUUCAUUUACAUGAUCUCUUUUGACAACAUUCCAGACAGGCAAGUAUUAUGACUUUCUUUAUUUAAAAGAGGAAGAAAAAAAAGUGUCAGAAAGGAAGUUUGUAUAAUGGAAAACAUAGUAACCUUCUAGUCAGAAAGUCUAGGUUGGAAUAAUAUAACUUUGGGCAAAUCACAACCUCCAACCUCAGUUUGCGACCUAUAAAGAGGGAUACUAGUACUUGUAUUCCUUACCUUACAAAGAGGUGGUAAGAAAAGUCUCUUGAAAUUUAAAAGGAAUAAGAAUCAGGAAUUUCUGCAUCUCCACCCUGCCCCCCCCCCCAUCCCCUUAAGUCUUCCAUUAAGUUAGGACUGGGUUGAAUGAAAUCUUUGCCACUUCAACAGAAUGAUAGUUCUUUGGCAGAGGCUCUUGAGGUCAUCCAGCCAGAUUUGUUGGUUUACAGAGGGGAAAAAUCUGAAAUCCAGGGAGUAAGGGGAUUUACUCAUUUAAAGAAUAAGAACUGGGAUUUGAACCUAUAGCCUCUCACUCUAAAUGCAGAUAAUCUUACAUUUUCUGAUGAUGUGGAUUGAGGAAAUCAACAUUUUGAGCUAAGUUAUUGGAAUAAAACUAAAGACUAUAGUCAAGAAAUGCAAAGUUAGAUUUAUUUCUUCAUUAGUGAUGACAGGGGAAAAAUUUAAUCUAAAUACAUUAAUAUUCCUACUGGACUUUAUCUUCUGGAUUGUCAAUUCUUAAAAAAAAGAUAUUGAUUUCUAUCCAGUGAAAUCCAUAAUCAUAUCUUUAUAAACUAUGUAUCUGUGCUUCAAGAUCAUAAGCAGAAGGUGUGUGUGUUGGGGGGAGGAAGAAUAAGACAUUACUGUGCUUAAGGGGUUAAAAAUGAAUAGGACAUGGAAUCAAAUGAACUAUUUUAUAGACUAAUAACUUCAAGAAAGGAAUUUCUUAUUAACUCCUCAAAGCUCUCCAUAAUUCAUAUUCUGUUUCUAACACCCCCCCCCCCUUAGUCUUGCUGAAAAUCUUUUAAGGAUAGAAUGUAAAUCUGUGGGACUAAAAACUUUGUCCAAACAUUCUAGUAUCAUCCAAGGGCAAGGACUAUAUUUCCUAUCAUAAGACAAAUUGAAUUUCUUUUUGAAGAUAGACAGUUGGACCACAUCUCAUUUCAAUGAAUUGUCAUCAUGGUACCAAUGCAGGUUUCUGGUUAGUCAUUUAAAGGAUGUUUGGAGAUGGCUAAUUUCAACCUCAUUCAUUAUUGCACCUGCAUAUGACAGAUGGGAAGGUUUAGUGUUGUCUAGUUUGAAGACAAAUAGAUGAACCAGAUUUCUCUCCAUUAUACUUCCCCAUCAAUGAAUUUCCAUUAUUUUGAAGACAGCUAAAUUCAAGAGUAAUCUCUAAUUCACUGGGAUUCAUGAAAGGACAGGUUCAGAAUAUGAAAGUAGUAUGGUAUGGUAGAUAGCAUUCCAAAUUUAAAGUAAGAGUCCCUGGGUUCAAAUUCUGCCUUUGUCACUUAUUGACCAUGGCCAAGUCUCUUCAUCUGUCAGAAGAGGCAUUUGAGUGCGACCUCUGAAAGACAUGAACUAACAAUCUGAGCCUAUAUACAGUAAGCUGAGGCUUUGUAACAUUUUUCAUUGGGUGACUUGAAAUUUAAUUAUGUAAUGCUUUCCCUUCCUCCCUUUAUAGCUUUCAACAGUUUUCUCAAAGUCACAUUAAUUAAGGAGGAACAAAGCCACUAAAAAAAUCCACCCAUAAAACCCCAAACAAGGUAUACUUAGAAUCAUGAAGAUUCAACCCAGAUGUUUUGAUAAAUCCAGUAGCUUAUGUAAGUUUGAUAUUCUUGGUGUAUUGUAUGAUGUACAACGUAGUAAUCAAGUUCCAAGUGUACCUGGAAGAAAACAAAUGGUGAUUUAGCCAACUCAAGCAGUUACCCAGGUGUGGGAGAAGGAAGAUAAGUAAUCAAGCAAGGGAGACGUGAAUUAUGAGGAUAGAGAAGGAAAAUCAGCUAUCCUAAUGGAGGCAAACUUGACAGGCAGCUAUAGUGCUGAUGCCCAGGUUUCAGUCUUAUCCUGAACAUGCUAAUUAGCUGAAAACAGACAAAUGACUUUAAAAAAAGACAAUGUAGUGUUCUUGGCACCUGCCCUGACUUUCCUUUCAAACACCCUAGUAAUCCCAAGUUUUUAUUGGGGUUAGAAUUCACCAAAAAUGUCUUUCAGGAAGGAUAGUUUUCAGAUUUUUCUCAAAAGAAAAUUUUACUGGAAAUCAAAUUACUUGGUAUAUCAAAUAUACUUGGUAUAAAGUUGAUCUUUAUAGAGAUCAACUGUGAAUUUAGCUCAUUCAGGGAGUGCCUUAAAUUACUUGCAAGAUCUCAGUUUUAAGAGGCUUGUGAAAAGUUGGGCCAUUCCUUUUACUCACUGACGUCUUGGGAAGAAAAAGUACAAAAGAAUCUGUCCUGUUGGGGUUGCCUUUUAGUUCAGUCACUUCUUAGUCCUAGUUUCACUGUGUGAAGACAGGCCAAUCUACCCCAGCUCCUCUUCCCCCGCCUUGGGGCAUUUCAAGCAAUAUACAAAUUAGCCCUUGAUCAUGGUGGAGUCAGAAUCCCAGUCUCUUCAGUAAAAUACUGGACAAGGAAUCAUCUAGCAAUUGUCCAGAGGUUCUGCUUUUUAUGCUUACUAAAAAUCACUAAAUGUCUCAUUAACAUCAGAGGGCCAGCGUUUAAAGUCUAGCCCGUCUCCUCAACAGUAAGUGUAGAGAACUAUCUGGCUCGGACUCAGUGGGGUCUGAGGCCUUUUGCAGCGAUCCUCCAUUUCUGAGGGCAGCCUAUUCUUUGCCUCUAGAUAAUUACAGAAGUUUUUGUAAAUCACUAUUCUCAGGCUCUUUUUUUACUUCUCCUCUGCCUUUGUCCCAACCAUUUUACCAUUUGGGAAAAUAGAAAUUUUAAGCUCAAAUCAGGCAACUCUGGUAAUAAAAAUCCACCAUGAAGUCAUUUCUCCUUAUACAAAACCCAUCUCUUACAUUGCAACGCUCUACUUCAUUUGUGUAUGUUUUCCUCCUUCAUUUUUUAAGGGGAGGAGGGAGAAGAGACCUUCCUUUUAAAGGACAUGGUGUCCCUUUCUCCAUCUUGGUCUGGCAAGACCAUUGCCAACAGGGAAUUCAGGGCCAAGGAGUUUGCUAGUGGUUGAAAUCUAGGAGGCCUCAAUUGUAUCCACUCUCCAAGUCCAAGUCUCCUUCCCCUUCUCAUCUCCAGAAUACAAAACAUUUGGAUGCUGUAGCUCACACCCCAGUUCUGUGGGGUAAGAAGUGCAGACCCUGUAGGAUCAUUCCUUCAAAAUCAAGGCAACUUUAGCUCCAAACGGGAAGCUUGGGAAAAAAUAUUCUAAAAUGCAGAUCACACUAGCUUGCAAUAAUUGUUUUAGUUACCUCCUCCCUUCUCCCCAUUAAAAACAACAACAAUAAUAAUUAGAAGGAAGCAAUAAGGAAAGUUUUGGUCUUUUGCUCUAGAUCAGAGUUUAAGUUGGGAUUGGUGAAUUUAUUAAAAAAAUCAUUUUGAUCAGUAUUUCAGCAAGAUCAGCUUCCUUUGUAAUCUUCUGUACUUUAUGAUUUUUGAGAGGGGUCUCUAGGGUUUUCUGGACUUCCAAAAGGGUCCAGGACCCAAAGAAGGUGAAGAAUUCCUGGUUUGCAUGGGACAUUUCAGGAAGGAAAGGAAUUUUAGGGGAUUAAGAUCAAGUCAAUUUCAUCACAGCUGAACUUUGUCAUUAGAACAAGUUUAGCAAAAGAUUAGCAAGAAGUUUCUGGCCUCAGAUCCACCUACCCCAGUGGAAAAAAAAAUUGUAAAAGUAGAUCUCCUACAUCCUUCUUGAUCCAGGACAUUUGUUUCCUGCUGAUUAUUAUGGUUCAGGACCUAGCAGUUUAAGUUCUGAAAGUAAGCAGUCAAGUAAAUAAUGAUACCUGCAUUUAGAAAGAAAGGAUGAUUAAGGUCAGAGAAAAGGGAUUGCUCUGUGGUGCCAUUUCUCUCAAGAAAUUAAAACAAAUUGAAUUAGAAUCACGCAGAAAUCUUCAUCUCAGUACACUCCAGUAUCCCAGAUAAGCAGCCAUCUAUCCUUUAGUAGGGAGCUUCUAUUGAGGCUGAACCCAGUACCAGGAAACUGAUUCUCAGGAAGCUUUUCCUUAUAAUAAAACCUGAAUUUGCCCUACCAUUGCAGGAUACUAAGAGGAGGGGGCAAGAAAAAUAACCUAAUCCUUCUCUCUUACAACAGCAUUUUCAAAUACUUGACAUAAGAAUACCCUUCCCGUCUCUAGGCUACUUCAAAAACAUGAUUUCCAAGGUUCUUCUCCAUUCUUGUCCCUCCUUAGGUGUUGUCUAGCUUAUCAAUGCCCUUCCUUAAUGACACCCAGCACUGUGGGCAGACCAGAGUAGAACAGAGCAAACCUUAUCAUGUGAUAUCAAUCUAGCUGCAGCAGUUGGGACUUAACUAUCACAUGGAAAACAAGGGGGGAAAUCUAUAAUCCCAUACAUUAGUUUGACUCAAUGGGAUUUCAAGAAACAUUCCCUAUUUUAGAUACUUUUCUCUCUUCUCUCCCAUUCAAAAUUGAAACUACUUCCAUUAAUGUAGAUAUUUUAGUACUUUAUUAAAAAUAAUACUUGCUGGUCAGAGAGAAUUGAGAGGAGGAUGAAAGAUAUCAUAAGAAAGAGGGACGGUUUAGAGACUAAGCUAAUGGCUAGCUACAUUCCUCUCACCUAACAGGGCCAAGGCUGACAGGUAUGUUCUAUGUUUUGAUCUGCCACUGAAGAGAAAGCUCAUUCUUUGGAAGGGAAACUUCUCCAAGAAAAAGCCUUUGGUUUUACAGAGGGGGGAAAAAUACCUUUAAGAGUCCUUAGCUGCUUUUAUAUAGGAAUAACUCUUGAUUAUGCAGCUAUAGAAUUUGUCUAGGUCCUAGAAUGCCCACCACCCACUUCUAGAUUCAAGCUAAAUAUGGCAAUAUCUUCUACCAGCUCUUAUUCCAACAGUAGCUUUCAAACUCUAACUUGCUUUACCAGCUUUAGUUUCUAGGAGCCCUACCUUUCUG